rnacentral:rRNA from 1 species
AAUAGAUACCCGGGUAGUCCACGCCGUAAACGAUGUCGACUUGGAGGUUGUGCCCUUGAGGCGUGGCUUCCGGAGCUAACGCGUUAAGUCGACCGCCUGGGGAGUACGGCCGCAAGGUUAAAACUCAAAUGAAUUGACGGGGGCCCGCACAAGCGGUGGAGCAUGUGGUUUAAUUCGAUGCAACGCGAAGAACCUUACCUACUCUUGACAUCCAGAGAACUUAGCAGAGAUGCUUUGGUGCCUUCGGGAACUCUGAGACAGGUGCUGCAUGGCUGUCGUCAGCUCGUGUUGUGAAAUGUUGGGUUAAGUCCCGCAACGAGCGCAACCCUUAUCCUUUGUUGCCAGCGGUUAGGCCGGGAACUCAAAGGAGACUGCCAGUGAUAAACUGGAGGAAGGUGGGGAUGACGUCAAGUCAUCAUGGCCCUUACGAGUAGGGCUACACACGUGCUACAAUGGCGCAUACAAAGAGAAGCGACCUCGCGAGAGCAAGCGGACCUCAUAAAGUGCGUCGUAGUCCGGAUUGGAGU